AGUGAACGCUGGCGGUAGGCCUAACACAUGCAAGUCGAACGGCAGCACAGUAAGAGCUUGCUCUUACGGGUGGCGAGUGGCGGACGGGUGAGGAAUACAUCGGAAUCUACUUUUUCGUGGGGGAUAACGUAGGGAAACUUACGCUAAUACCGCAUACGACCUACGGGUGAAAGCAGGGGAUCUUCGGACCUUGCGCGAUUGAAUGAGCCGCUGUCGGAUUAGCUAGUUGGCGGGGUAAAGGCCCACCAAGGCGACGAUCCGUAACUGGUCUGAGAGGAUGAUCAGCCACACUGGGACUGAGACACGGUCCAGACUCCUACGGGAGGCAGCAGUGGGGAAUAUUGGACAAUGGGCGCAAGCCUGAUCCAGCCAUACCGCGUGGGUGAAGAAGGCCUUCGGGUUGUAAAGCCCUUUUGUUGGGAAAGAAAAGCAGCAGGUUAAUACCCCGCUGUUCUGACGGUACCCAAAGAAUAAGCACCGGCUAACUUCGUG
rnacentral:rRNA from 1 species